UACAGGGGGGGCAAGCGUUGUUCGGAAUUACUGGGCGUAAAGGGUUCGUAGGUGGCCACUUAAGUCAGACGUGAAAUCCCUCAGCUUAACUGGGGAACUGCGUCUGAUACUGAGUGGCUUGAGUGCAGGAGAGGAACGCGGAAUUCCAGGUGUAGCGGUGAAAUGCGUAGAUAUCUGGAGGAACACCGGUGGCGAAGGCGGCGUUCUGGACUGUAACUGACACUGAGGAACGAAAGCCAGGGGAGCAAAC
rnacentral:rRNA from 1 species